rnacentral:lncRNA from 1 species
CGCUGCCAGGCGGUUUCUUGGCAACUCCUUAUGGAAUUGCCAUGCAAUUACAUUUUGGCUUGACAAUGAGGAUGGAGUAGGUAAAAGCACAAAUAUAUCUGGGACCAGGCUAGGUGAGAUCAGAUCUGGGACCAGGCUAGGUGAGAUCAGAUCUGGGACCAGGCUAGGUGAGAUCAGAUCUGGGACCAGGCUAGGUGAGAUCAGAUCUGGGACCAGGUGAGAUCAGAUCUGGGACCAGGCUAGGUGAGAUCAGAUCUGGGACCAGGCUAGGUGAGAUCAGAUCUGGGACCAGGCUAGGUGAGAUCAGAUCUGGGACCAGGCUAGGUGAGAUCAGAUCUGGGACCAGGCUAGGUGAGAUCAGAUCUGGGACCAGGCUAGUGAGAUCAGAUCUGGGACCAGGCUAGGUGAGAUCAGAUCUGGGACCAGGCUAGUGAGAUCAGAUCUGGGACCAGGCUAGUGAGAUCAGAUCUGGGACCAGGUGAGAUCAGAUCAGGGACCAGACUAGGUGAGAUCAGAUCUGGGACCAGGCUAGGUGAGAUCAGAUCUGGGACCAGGCUAGGUGAGAUCAGAUCUGGGACCAGGCUAGGUGAGAUCAGAUCUGGCACCAGGCUAGGUGAGAUCAGAUCUGGGACCAGGCUAGUGAGAUCUGGGACCAGGCUAGGUGAGAUCAGAUCUGGGACCAGGCUAGGUGAGAUCAGAUCUGGGACCAGGCUAGGUGAGAUCAGAUCUGGGACCAGGCUAGGUGAGAUCAGAUCUGGCACCAGGGCUAGAGAGAUCAGAUCUGGGACCAGACUAGGUGAGAUCAGAUCUGUGACCAGGCUAGUGAGAUCAGAUCUGGGACCAGGCUAGGUGAGAUCAGAUCUGGCACCAGGGCUAGAGAGAUCAGAUCUGGGACCAGACUAGGUGAGAUCAGAUCUGGGACCAGGCUAGGUGAGAUCAGAUCUGGGACCAGACUAGGUGAGAUCAGAUCUGGGACCAGGCUAGGUGAGAUCAGAUCUGGGACCAGACUAGGUGAGAUCAGAUCUGGGACCAGACUAGGUGAGAUCAGAUCUGGGACCAGGCUCGGUGAGAUCAGAUCUGACACCAGGCUAGGUGAGAUCAGAUCUGGGACCAGACUUGCUCUCUCUGUCACAAACCCUCAAUCUCCAUUUGCUGAGACAAUAUGAAUGGGGCCUAUACUGUCCUGUUGUUAAUGUACUUUAAUUAAGCAUUGAAAC